rnacentral:lncRNA from 1 species
AAAACGGGUAGUCCUUGUUCUGCUUGGGGGGCUUUAAGGAAGCAAAUGGACUUUCAGAACAGAGAUUGUCAAUAAAGGAAUACCCAUCUCGAGUUCUGGAUAUGUGCUCUGAGAAGGUGCCCAUGUCACCGACCACACUGGAGGCCAAUGCAGAUACUGGGGGAAGGUUCCAUGGUAGCUAAGUGUGGACAAGCUAAUCACUGAAGUUCCCUGAUGCAGAGCUGAUAAUCUCUCUAGAGUUGGAUGAAAGACUGUGCUGCCUUGAAGCUCUGAGAGAUGCCAUGCCAAUUCAAGGCAGGGUCUUUAUUGUUGAAACUCUUGCGUAAUGACAUCUUUAUUCAGGUGAAAAUACAGGAUGAAUUUCAACUGUAUGAUAUUGUUUAUGUUCAUCAGACAUGUUAUUUGUCUUUACAAACAUUGGUUUCAAUAAACUGGCUGUGUGACUGAUAUUAAAUAAACAUGGAAUUUUACACAUUCAUAAUAUUUGGUUUCUUGUGAUUUUGAUGAACUAUACUUUCAAGCAUUGUCAGUUCAUCCUCAUUUACAAGGAAACAUUUGCUGUAGCAGAGUGAUGUAGUGACUUGCUUUACUUAAGAUAAGUCAACUUUUCUAUUCAAUGUUUAAUGUGAAACUGACUUAAAAAUGUUCUUUUAGGCCGCAUUUACAUUUCUCUUUGUAUAACAUGCAUUAUACUAUUUUAACUUAAUACUGUGGCUAUAUAAACC